rnacentral:misc_RNA from 1 species
GAUGAAGAACGUAUCGAAAUGCGAUACGUAAUGUGAAUUGCAGAAUUCAGUGAAUCAUCGAAUCUUUGAACGCAUAUUGCGCUCUCUGGUAUUCCGGAGAGCAUGCUUGUUUGAGUAUCAGUAAACACCUCAACUCCCCUUUCUUUUUUGAAAUGGGAGCUGGACUUGAGUGAUCCCAACGCUUUUCUCACCGAAAAGUGGCGGGUUACUUGAAAUGCAGGUGCAGCUGGACUUUUCUCUGAGCUAAAAGCAUAUCUAUUUAGUCUGCCUAAAAACAGAUUAUUACCUUUGCUGCAGCUAACAUAAAGGAGAUUAGUUCUUGUGCUGACUGAUGCAGGAUUCACAGAGACAGCUUCGGCUGGCCUUUGUAAACUCGAUCUCAAAUCAAGUAAGACUACCCGCUGAACUUAAGCAUAUCAAUAAGCGGAGGA